UUCGUAGCUAUUUUUUGGUCUAGUGGUAUUCGUAUCAUAUGUAGAAUUGCUGUAUAGACUCGCAAGUAAUUUGGCACUCAAAACGAAGUAUUAUUCAACGCUUUUUCCCAUUAGAAACCUUUCAGAAAUAGCUUUUUUUUAAAAAGAAAAUGUUGUUUUGUUUUGAUCAUGCGGUUGCGUGGGAUAGUUCACGUACUGGUCCCGCGAAGAUCCCGCACGCAACUGUAGGGAGCCUCCUUAACUACACUUUG